rnacentral:rRNA from 1 species
CCCGUAAUCCGGGUUGCGGACAGUGUCUGGUGGGUAGUUUGACUGGGGCGGUCUCCUCCUAAAGAGUAACGGAGGAGCACGAAGGUUGGCUAAUCCUGGUCGGACAUCAGGAGGUUAGUGCAAUGGCAUAAGCCAGCUUGACUGCGAGCGUGACGGCGCGAGCAGGUGCGAAAGCAGGUCAUAGUGAUCCGGUGGUUCUGAAUGGAAGGGCCAUCGCUCAACGGAUAAAAGGUACUCCGGGGAUAACAGGCUGAUACCGCCCAAGAGUUCAUAUCGACGGCGGUGUUUGGCACCUCGAUGUCGGCUCAUCACAUCCUGGGGCUGAAGUAGGUCCCAAGGGUAUGGCUGUUCGCCAUUUAAAGUGGUACGCGAGCUGGGUUUAGAACGUCGUGAGACAGUUCGGUCCCUAUCUGCCGUGGGCGCUGGAGAACUGAGGGGGGCUGCUCCUAGUACGAGAGGACCGGAGUGGACGCAUCACUGGUGUUCGGGUUGUCAUGCCAAUGGCACUGCCCGGUAGCUAAAUGCGGAAGAGAUAAGUGCUGAAAGCAUCUAAGCACGAAACUUGCC